rnacentral:rRNA from 1 species
UUUAUUGAGAGUUUGAUCCUGGCUCAGGACGAACGCUGGCGGCGUGCUUAACACAUGCAAGUCGAGCGAUGAAG